rnacentral:rRNA from 1 species
GAUGAACGCUAGCGGCGUGCCUAAUACAUGCAAGUCGAGCGAACAGACGAGGAGCUUGCUCCUCUGACGUUAGCGGCGGACGGGUGAGUAACACGUGGAUAACCUACCUAUAAGACUGGGAUAACUUCGGGAAACCGGAGCUAAUACCGGAUAAUAUAUUGAACCGCAUGGUUCAAUAGUGAAAGACGGUUUUGCUGUCACUUAUAGAUGGAUCCGCGCCGCAUUAGCUAGUUGGUAAGGUAACGGCUUACCAAGGCAACGAUGCGUAGCCGACCUGAGAGGGUGAUCGGCCACACUGGAACUGAGACACGGUCCAGACUCCUACGGGAGGCAGCAGUAGGGAAUCUUCCGCAAUGGGCGAAAGCCUGACGGAGCAACGCCGCGUGAGUGAUGAAGGUCUUCGGAUCGUAAAACUCUGUUAUUAGGGAAGAACAAAUGUGUAAGUAACUAUGCACGUCUUGACGGUACCUAAUCAGAAAGCCACGGCUAACGAC